rnacentral:rRNA from 1 species
GAGCUUGCUCUUAUGAAGUUAGCGGCGGACGGGUGAGUAACACGUGGGUAACCUGCCCAUAAGACUGGGAUAACUCCGGGAAACCGGGGCUAAUACCGGAUAACAUUUUGAACCGCAUGGUUCGAAAUUGAAAGGCGGCUUCGGCUGUCACUUAUGGAUGGACCCGCGUCGCAUUAGCUAGUUGGUGAGGUAACGGCUCACCAAGGCAACGAUGCGUAGCCAACCUGAGAGGGUGAUCGGCCACACUGGGACUGAGACACGGCCCAGACUCCUACGGGAGGCAGCAGUAGGGAAUCUUCCGCAAUGGACGAAAGUCUGACGGAGCAACGCCGCGUGAGUGAUGAAGGCUUUCGGGUCGUAAAACUCUGUUGUUAGGGAAGAACAAGUGCUAGUUGAAUAAGCUGGCACCUUGACGGUACCUAACCAGAAAGCCACGGCUAACUACGUGCCAGCAGCCGCGGUAAUACGUAGGUGGCAAGCGUUAUCCGGAAUUAUUGGGCGUAAAGCGCGCGCAGGUGGUUUCUUAAGUCUGAUGUGAAAGCCCACGGCUCACCCGUGGAGGGUCAUUGGAAACUGGGAGACUUGAGUGCAGAAGAGGAAAGUGGAAUUCCAUGUGUAGCGGUGAAAUGCGUAGAGAUAUGGAGGAACACCAGUGGCGAA